AGAGUUUGAUCAUGGCUCAGAACGAACGCUGGCGGCAGGCUUAACACAUGCAAGUCGAACGAGUGUAGCAAUACACUAGUGGCGCACGGGUGAGUAACACGUGGAUAUCUGCCUUUUGGUUCGGAAUAACCCUGGGAAACUAGGGCUAAUACCGAAUGGUUCCUACGGGAUAAAGAUUUAUCGCCAAAAGAUGAGUCCGCGUCCGAUUAGCUAGUUGGUGAGGUAAUGGCUCACCAAGGCGACGAUCGGUAGCUGGUCUGAGAGGACGAUCAGCCACACUGGGACUGAGACACGGCCCAGACUCCUACGGGAGGCAGCAGUGGGGAAUAUUGGACAAUGGGGGCAACCCUGAUCCAGCCAUGCCGCGUGAGUGAUGAAGGCCUUCGAGUUGUAAAGCUCUUUUGGCGGGGACGAUGAUGACGGUACCCGCAGAAUAAGCCCCGGCUAACUUCGUGCCAGCAGCCGCGGUAAGACGAAGGGGGCUAGCGUUGUUCGGAAUUACUGGGCGUAAAGCGUGUGUAGGUGGUUGUCAUAGUCAGGUGUGAAAGCCUUGAGCUCAACUCAAGAAAUGCACUUGAUACUGGGCAACUAGAGGACCGGAGAGGAUAGUGGAAUUCCCAGUGUAGUGGUGAAAUACGUAGAGAUUGGGAAGAACACCAGUGGCGAAGGCGGCUAUCUGGACGGUUUCUGACACUAAGACACGAAAGCGUGGGGAGCAAACAGGAUUAGAUACCCUGGUAGUCCACGCCGUAAACGAUGGGUGCUAGACGUUGGCGAGCUUGCUCGUCAGUGUCGCAGCUAACGCGUUAAGCACCCCGCCUGGGGAGUACGGGCCGCAAGGUUGAAACUCAAAGGAAUUGACGGGGGCCCGCACAAGCGGUGGAGCAUGUGGUUCAAUUCGACGCAACGCGAGACCUUACCAGCCCUUGACUUGUGACUCGCCGGUCCAGAGACGGGACNUUCGUUCGCNGAGUCAACACAAGUGCCGCAUGNUGUCGUCAGCUCGUGUNNNAGAUGUUGNNUAAGUUCCGNACGAG
rnacentral:rRNA from 1 species